CGGGUCGAGCUUUAAAGCAGGUUGAUGUUUACUUGAAUGAAAAGCGGAAGUGAAAUUGUCUUCUCUCCUCCGCUAGGGUAAGAGUCUAAAUCCAGCGUCUGAAAUACACUUUAUGUAAUGCCACGACAGGUCAUCAAUAAAAAGUUGAUGUAUUAAACUUGUAAAUAGAACCUGCUUAUACUGGUAAACUGAUAUGGUAGAGUGAAAGACCAGUGCCUUCCAUUCAAGAUAUGCAACGAGGUGCAAUUCAUUUUAUCACUGACAAGCGCUGGAAAGAUAUUUCUUUUAAUGUUGUGAAGAUUUGAUGGGAGGAAGCAUCAUCAGCAAGGAUACAAUGUCAAAGUGCAUGGCAGCAAUACAGAAUGCUUAAGAUAGCUGCAACGUCAAUGCUAUGAGUACAAUGUCAAAAAUGGGUAUGAAUCAAGGAAAGGUUUUAGCAAAGAAAACUGAAGCAGUGAAUGAAGAUAAGUGAAUGAAGGAAAUUGUGCGCAAAGAAAAAUAUUCAAAGGAAGAUAAAAGAUAAACAGAAUUCAAAAUGGUGAUACUUCGAGGCACGGUCGACCAUUCAUUUCCACAACUGUUUUCCACAAUCGGCCAAGCAGUCGCAGCAACCACCGUGAUUGUGUCAAUUGGCAAGAUAUUCACCCAGUAUUACUUCAUCUUUGUGAUGGCUGCAAUAUUGCUCGUCAUAGGAACAUUCUCAUACAUUGACGUUAUUCUGAAUAGCCCACAGGCCAAACGUAGUCAAUUACAAAACUAUAUGUACAGUGUUUACGAAAGAUACACAGGGAAAGAAGUCGAAUCCGCACUGUACAGUUUAACGGAACAGCAAGCUAAAAUCCUCACCACCGGAAUACCGAAGAAUCUGGCUGGAAUACAAAUGCAUGCAAACAAACUAACUAGAUUUGGGGAUCGAAUACAAAUCUAGCCGAAACGCCAAAACUAAAACGAAAGCAAAAGCGACCUUGAAUUUGAUUACAAAUUGAUCGUAAAUAACGUUGAACUUGAACAAUCUUCUGGUUUGUCCGCAAGCUUGACCGUGAAAGUUUGUCGUUGGAUGGUUUGCGAAAACAUGGUGUUGCCUGUGGCUGUAAAGAAGCCAGAAAGAAUCAGCAGCUUCUAAAAUAUAUGAUGUGUAGUCUGCAGUAGGCGGUAGGAUUGUCAUUGACAUUGUAAUAACAAUUGUCACUGUUUUCAAAAC